rnacentral:rRNA from 1 species
CCUACGGGGGGCAGCAAUGAGGAAUAUUGGUCCAUGGGCGCGAGCCUUAACCAGCCAAGUAGCGUGAAGGAUGACUGCCCUACGGGUUGUAAACUUCUUUUAUAAAGGAAUAAAGUGAGGCACGUGUGCCUUUUUGUAUGUACUUUAUGAAUAAGGAUCGGCUAACUCCGUGCCAGCCGCCGCGGUAAUACGGCGGAUCCGAGCGUUAUCCGGAUUUAUUGGGUUUAAAGGGAGCGUAGAUGGGUUGUUAAGUCAGUUGUGAAAGUUUGCGGCUCAACCGUAAAAUUGCAAUUGAUAAUGACAGCCUUGAGUACAGUUGAGGUAGGCGGAAUUCGUGGUGUAGCGGUGAAAUGCUUAGAUAUCACGAAGAACUCCGAUUGCGAAGGCAGCUUACUAAACUGCCACUGACAUUGAUGCUCGAAAGUGUGGGUAUCAAACAGGAUUAGAUACCCCAGUAGUC